rnacentral:rRNA from 1 species
AACGAACGCUGGCGGCAGGCCUAACACAUGCAAGUCGAACGAGCUGGGACCUUCGGGUCCCGAUGCUAGUGGCGCACGGGUGAGUAACACGUGGGAAUCUACCCAAUAGUACGGAAUAACUGAGGGAAACUUUGGCUAAUACCGUAUACGCCCUUCGGGGGUAAGAUUUAUCGCUAUUGGAUGAGCCCGCGUCUGAUUAGGUAGUUGGUGAGGUAACGGCUCACCAAGACGACGAUCAGUAGCUGGUCUGAGAGGAUGAUCAGCCACACUGGGACUGAGACACGGCCCAGACUCCUACGGGAGGCAGCAGUGGGGAAUAUUGGACAAUGGGCGCAAGCCUGAUCCAGCCAUGCCGCGUGAGUGAAGAAGGCCUUCGGGUUGUAAAGCUCUUUCGACGGGGACGAUGAUGACGGUACCCGUAUAAGAAGCCCCGGCUAACUUCGUGCCAGCCGCCGCAGUAA